rnacentral:tRNA from 1 species
GGCGCGGUGGGAGAGUGGCUAUCCAGCAGCCUGCAAAGCUGUGGACGCCGGUUCGAAUCCGGCCCGCGCCUCCA